rnacentral:rRNA from 1 species
GAUGAACGCUGGCGGCGUGCCUAAUACAUGCAAGUCGAGCGAACAGACGAGGAGCUUGCUCCUCUGACGUUAGCGGCGGACGGGUGAGUAACACGUGGAUAACCUACCUAUAAGACUGGGAUAACUUCGGGAAACCGGAGCUAAUACCGGAUAAUAUAUUGAACCGCAUGGUUCAAUAGUGAAAGACGGUUUUGCUGUCACUUAUAGAUGGAUCCGCGCCGCAUUAGCUAGUUGGUAAGGUAACGGCUUACCAAGGCAACGAUGCGUAGCCGACCUGAGAGGGGGAUCGGCCACACUGGAACUGAGACACGGUCCAGACUCCUACGGGAGGCAGCAGUAGGGAAUCUUCCGCAAUGGGCGAAAGCUUGACGGAGCAACGCCGCGUGAGUGAUGAAGGUCUUCGGAUCGUAAGACUCUGUUAUUAGGGAAGAACAAAUGUGUAAGUAACUAUGCACGUCUUGACGGUACCUAAUCAGAAAGCCACGGCUAACUACGUG